CAUCGCCUCCCCGCUGCCGGCAGGAGGACCGGGCUCUCCCCUCUGCCGGCGCGAGGGCCACCCUGCUAGUGCCGCAAGCUCUUCCCCUCCAUGCCUUCGUAGCGCUCCCGGGACGGCUGGCCCUUUCCCUACUACCCGCUGAUGUCGCCAUUUCCAAGCGUGGUCAGCAUGCCCUGAUCUUGUUCGCCCCUCUUCGUCCAUUCCAGCCGGAGAAGAGCCCGAGGAGGCGCUGGAGCUAGCUCCACCCUUCCUCCAAGCAUCCACAGACACAGAUCCCUGCAUAGCCAUAUGCGCAGAUGCAUUCGAUGUGCAGCUGGAGGCGGAUGAAGUGCUUCCACCGUUGUCGAGUCUGUUGCUUCUGAUCUAGGUUUAUAUUGAGUCAUUAUUGUCUGGGCUGCUACAAAGAGUCAGUACUCAUGUAAGUGGUCAAUGGUUUCAUACAGUCAUGUUCUAAGGAAGUAAGAUGUGGAUAACAAAAGAAAACAAGCCUCGGAUCCAAUACAUGCGCUUGAAGCCCCAGAUAUAGCGUCCUCCAGCAAGCAUGAUAAAGAAGAAUCAUGUAUGUCGACACGUACUUCACGGAAAGAGACAUCCAGGGCCGGUCUACAUGUUGAUUGACUGAAGAACCAGAAUAUCAUACCUCGUAUGAAGGUCGAGGUCGUUGGCUGCAGGUCGCGGUCUCCAGGGCGAUUGCCACGGCGAGUUGCGUACAGGUUAGGUGGCGCGUGGGUCAGUACGGCGCAUGGCAGGCCUGGUAGUGCAUGGUUUAGGAUGGCAUAUGACAGGCUUGGCGGCAAGCAGGCAGGAUCGUGGCGGCCUGGAGGCGGCGGGCGGGAAUGGCGUCGACAGGCAGGGAAGGAGGUCGCGGGUAAGACAGGCGCCGUGGAGGAGGCGAUCGUGAGAGCAAUCAGUGACAGGCGCUUUGGAGUAGGUGAUCCUGAGAGCAAUAUUAGUCCACCGUUAAUUCAGAUUCUUGCCUUUUUUCCUGGAGCGCUUUGGAGUAUGCGAUCCUGAGAGCAAUAUUACUUCACCGUUAA